CUUCUAGUGACGAAAAAGCCAUUCA
rnacentral:piRNA from 1 species